CACAAUUAUUUUUCAAUGAACACUUUUAAUUAUUUUAAUCUUUUCUCACAUUUCUCUUUCCUAAAUUUAAUGUGAAUAUCACUUUUAUUGGAAAAGACUGAUGUUACAUGUUCUCUGUUUUUUGUUUUUCUGCAAAUUUUCUCUGAAAUAUCUCUGGUUGAAGAGGAGAAGGACAGAAACUGUUUUGGAAGCCACAAGGCAAAAUUGACUCAGAUUCUUAUGCUUAAAAAGAUGUGUGAAACUUUCCAUUAUAUGGCUUCGUUUCUGUGCUUGUGAAGGGAUAACAAGGUAUUGAUUUGUGUAGCAGUACAGUAACACUUCACGUCUGAAUACAAGGAGCAACCACUUCUUAAUUGUGCAGGUGUGAACUUCAUGAUGUUGCCUUACUUUCUCCUUACACAAAGAUUUAGACAAUGGCUGGACUCCAUAAUUCCUUCCAUCUCACUUCCAUAAAUGUGUACAUGACAUGUCUUUGUACAGAUCACCUGUUCUGUUAGAUAUUAAUUAUUUUCUUAUUUUUGAGGAGUGAUUAUUAAAUUUGGUUUUAGUUCUCAGAGAUAUAAAAAAUACCACUUAGAAAAUGUGUACAUAGGGUGCUGUAAUCAGAAAAUAUCUUUGUGCCAUUGGCUUGUAAUAAGGGAAUUUCAAUUUUUUAUUUAUUGUCAUUUCAUCUACCUUAAUAUUCUCAAAAGGCUUUCAUGUUUGUGCUCUUUUUAGAUUUUAAUUUUUGUUGUCUUAAUCAAAAAACAUGCGAGGGUUGGGAACACUUGUUCAAGAUGUGUGACAUGAGCAGUCAACAGAGCAAAAACACUGAUAUUGUAUGGGAAUAUGUAAUAACAGAUGGGCAUUUGCUCUGCUACGUGUGGCAGCAAUCAGGAUCUGUGGGCUUCAGUGCUGUAAGCAGAAUUGACAGAUCCUGCUUUAAGGAAAAAGGUGCCCCUCAUCUGUUGUAUUCAACCUGGCAGCAUUUUGUUACCAAACCCAGUUACUCCAUCAUUACUGUACCACCGCCUAUAUGGAUGUAG
rnacentral:lncRNA from 1 species